CCCUACGGGGUGCAGCAGGCGCGAAACCUCCUCAAUGCACUUACGUGCGAAGGGGCUACCUCGAGUGCCAUCUGAUGAAGGUGGCUUUUCCUAGGUCUAAAAAGCCUUGGGAAUAAGAGGGGGGCAAGACUGGUGUCAGCCGCCGCGGUAACGCCAGCCCCUCGAGUGGUGGGGAUGAUUAUUGGGCCUAAAGCGUCCGUAGCCUGCCGUAUAAGUUUCCCGUUAAAUCCAGCGUCUUAAGCGUUGGACUGCGGGAAAUACUGUACGGCUAGAGAGUGGGAGAGGUCAGCGGUAUUCUGGGGGUAGGGGCGAAAUCCUUUGAUCCCCGGAGGACCACCAGUGGCGAAGGCUGCUGACUAGAACACGUCUGACGGUCAGGGACGAAAGCUGGGGUAGCGAACCGGAUUAGAUACCCGGGUAGUCCCAGCCGUAAACGAUGCAUGCUAGGUGUUGGGUUGGCCACGAGCCACCUCAGUGCCGCAGGGAAGCCGUUAAGCAUGCCGCCUGGGAAGUACGAUCGCAAGGUUGAAACUUAAAGGAAUUGGCGGGGGAGCAC
rnacentral:rRNA from 1 species